CACGUAGGGUGCGAGCGUUGUCCGGAAUUAUUGGGCGUAAAGAGCUCGUAGGCGGUGUGUCGCGUCGGCCGUGAAAACCUGCAGCUUAACUGUGGGCUUGCGGUCGAUACGGGCAUCACUGGAGUUCGGCAGGGGAGACUGGAAUUCCUGGUGUAGCGGUGAAAUGCGCAGAUAUCAGGAGGAACACCGGUGGCGAAGGCGGGUCUCUGGGCCGAUACUGACGCUGAGGAGCGAAAGCGUGGGGAGCGAACAGGAUUAGAUACCCC
rnacentral:rRNA from 1 species